rnacentral:rRNA from 2 species
GGAGGAAAAGAAACUAACAAGGAUUCCCCUAGUAACGGCGAGUGAAGCGGGAAGAGCUCAAAUUUGAAAUCUGGUGGCCUCAGGUCAUCCGAGUUGUAAUCUAUAGAAGUGUUUUCCGUGCUGGCUCAUGUACAAGUCCCUUGGAACAGGGCGUCAUAGAGGGUGAGAAUCCCGUCCUUGACAUGAACUACCAGUGCUCUGUGAUACAUUUUCAACGAGUCGAGUUGUUUGGGAAUGCAGCUCAAAAUGGGUGGUAAAUUCCAUCUAAAGCUAAAUAUUGGCGAGAGACCGAUAGCGAACAAGUACCGUGAGGGAAAGAUGAAAAGCACUUUGGAAAGAGAGUUAAACAGUAUGUGAAAUUGUUGAAAGGGAAACGAUUGAAGUCAGUCGUGCUCUUUGGAUUCAGCCGGUUCUGCCGGUGUACUUCCUUUGAGUGGGGUCAACAUCAGUUUUGAUCGCUGGAUAAAGGCUGGAGGAACGUAGUACCCUCGGGUAAACUUAUAGCCUCCUGUCACAUACAGUGGUUGGGACUGAGGAACGCAGCACGCCUUUAUGGCCGGGAUUCGUCCACGUACGUGCUUAGGAUGUUGACAUAAUGGCUUUAAACGACCCGUCUUGA